UAGUCCAUACCUUGUAAAAUACACUGCAUUAGGGUUUGUGCUUUAUCUUGAGGGCACUGGGAAGCCAGAGGAUUUUAAAGGAAGGUCACAUUUGCAUCUUCAAGCUGCAGUAUGAAGAAUGUAUGGAGAUGAGAGGUGCCUAAAAGCAGGGAGACCAAUUUGGUGGCCAAUGCAAUCAUUCUGGUGAGAGAUCACAGUGGCCUGGACUUAGGUUGGAACUGUGAAGUCAGAGGCUUUUGCCAGGGAAUGAUUAUCUGGAACCGACUUUAAUCUUCACCCCGCCGUUCUUCAUGCUACAAGAUCCUGCUCCCUCUACAUCCACUAUCCUGGCCUCACUCUGCACAGUUGGGGAAGACAGCAGUGCCCCUCUCAGAUGGCAGGCCACCCUCCUCCACCCCAUCCAAAGUGACUUGGCUUAGGAUGUGUCCUGGAAAGUGAAAACAUACAGCAAGUCAGGCCCCCAGAUUCCUGAAGAAGAUCACAGAAUUUGGUGCUCUGGGACUUAUGAGUAAGCUUUGGAGUCAGAAGAGAACUGAAACUCCUGCUCACCCAGGUUCUAACUAUGGAAACAUGCUGUCUUUCUGGGAAAUGGAGACAUCCUGUGCCAAAGCAUGGUUGAAGCCCAGGAUGAGCAUGCGGGCAAAGGAAGAUCUGUUCUGCAUAAAUUCUCGCAGGCACUUCCAAGUGCAAAUUCUUGGCAUCUCCAAGUGACCACAAACAGAGGUGAAGUGGGACAGGUGAGGAUCGGAUGAAAUAAUCUAACCAAGAACACAAAAGGAAAACAGGAAGUCAACGUUCAAACAUAACAGUGGUGCUAGUUUUCCAGGUCCAGGGGCCAUGGCUAACAUGGGAUGCAGAGAAAGCCAGGGUCAGCUCUCUGAGUGGCUCAAUCCUCCCAGUCACUCAGCCCUUCAGGGAAGCACUGCUUCCUGCCUUCCCCUCUCCUCCCAGUGCAGCUGAAAUGGAUACCCUCUGGCACGUGCUGGAGAGAGAGAUGGAGAAAUUCUGCCUGGAGAGAGAAUUGGCAAAUCUGGGAUUGACUCCAGCUUGGCCAACAGUGUCCUUUGCCAACUGGUGCUCCUCAGAGCUCCCUGCCCUAGAUAGAUACAGAGUUGUAUCUAGCCUUUCAAAAUCCACCUACUGAUGUGGAGAAAGGGGAACCCUCUUACACUGUUGGUGGGAAUGCAAACUGUUGCAACUACUCUGGAAAACAGUAUGGAGGUUCCUCAAAAAGUUAAAAAUAGAACUAUCCUAUGAUCCAGCAACUGCACUACUAGGUAUUUACCCAAAGAAUACAAAAAUACUCAGUCAAAGGGAUCCAGGCACCCCAAUAUUUACAGCAACAUUAUCCACAAUAGCCAAAUUAUGGAAACAGCCCAAGUGCCCAUUGAUUGAUGAAUGAAUAAAGAAGAUGAUAUAUAUAUGAUAUAAGUGAGAUAUAUAUUAUAUAUAUAUAUAUAAUAUAUAUAAUGGAAUAAUACUCAGCCAUAAGAAAAAUGAAAUCUUGCCAUUUGUAAUGACAUGGAUGGAGCUAGAGAGUAUUAUGCUAAGCAAAAUAACUCAGAGAAAGACAAAUACCAUAUGGUUUCAUUCAUGUGGAAUUUAAGAAACAAAAUGAAUGAGCAAAGGGGGAAGAAGAGAGAGGCAAACCAAGAAACAGACUUUUAACUGUAGAGAACAAACUGAUCGUCACCAGAGGGGAGGUGGGAGGGGGGAUGGGUGAAAUAAGUGAUAGGGAUUAAGAAGUGCAUUUGUUGUGAUGAGCUCAGGGUGUUGUACGGAAGUGUUGAAUCAUAUAUUGUAUACCUGCAACUAAU